CCCCAGCCAGGUGGGCCGGUGGCCUCUCCCCGGAGCCCCGAAGCUCUGACCCCGAUGAUUCGACCCUGCCCUGGGAGAAGAUCGUGGUGCGUCUCUUUGGAGACGGGGAGAGCCAGGCAGCCGCGGAAGCGUCGGUGAGGAAAGUGCUCGCGCGGCCCGGCGAGGGGAGCAGCAAGGCGCAGGUAAGGGGGGGCCUGGCUCCUUCCUGCCAGCCCCCCCCCCCCCCCCCCCCCCCGGGGGGGGGCCCCCAGUCUCCCGGGGAGCAGCCUGGCCAGAGUGGGGUGAUGAGGCUGGGCUGGGCUGGGGGUCCUGUUCUGACUCUCUCUCUCCCUCCCCCCGGCAGCGCAUCGAGUUUCUGGCCCGGCUCCUGCGGAAGGAGGUGGAGGGGGCAGGUGGCUCCUCCAGCCUGGAAGAGCUCCAGAACCUGCUGGCUGCCUGCGCCCCGUCGCCCGGGCCCCCCC
rnacentral:lncRNA from 1 species